rnacentral:rRNA from 1 species
UACGUAGGGUGCAAGCGUUAAUCGGAAUUACUGGGCGUAAAGCGUGCGCAGGCGGUUUGUUAAGACCGAUGUGAAAUCCCCGGGCUCAACCUGGGAACUGCAUUGGUGACUGGCAAGCUAGAGUAUGGCAGAGGGGGGUAGAAUUCCACGUGUAGCAGUGAAAUGCGUAGAGAUGUGGAGGAAUACCGAUGGCGAAGGCAGCCCCCUGGGCCAAUACUGACGCUCAUGCACGAAAGCGUGGGGAGCAAACAGG